rnacentral:rRNA from 1 species
CUGAGCCAGGUACAGGGGAAGUCGGUGAUCCUAUGCUGCCAAGAAAAUCUUCUAGCGAGGUUCGAGCCGCCCGUACCCCAAACCGACUCAGGUGGUUAGGUAGAGAAUACCAAGGCGAUCGAGUGAAUCGUGGUUAAGGAAUUCGGCAAAAUACCCCCGUAACUUCGGGAGAAGGGGGGCCCAGAGGGUGACGGGACUUGCUCCCCGAGCCUGAACGGCCGCAGAGACCAGGGAGAAGCGACUGUUUACUAAAAACACAGGUCCGUGCCAAGUCGCAAGACGAUGUAUACGGACUGACGCCUGCCCGGUGCUGGAACGUUAAGGGGACCGGUUAGCCUCACGGCGAAGCUGAGAACUUAAGCGCCAGUAAACGGCGGUGGUAACUAUGACCAUCCUAAGGUAGCGAAAUUCCUUGUCGGGUAAGUUCCGACCUGCACGAAUGGCGUAACGAUUUCUCCACUGUCUCAUCCACGAACUCGGCGAAAUUGCACUACGAGUAAAGAUGCUCGUUACGCGCAGAAGGACGGAAAGACCCCGGGACCUUUACUACAGCUUGGUAUUGGUGUUCGGUACGGCUUGUGUAGGAUAGGUGGGAGACUGUGAAGCUGACACGCCAGUGUCGGUGGAGUCAACGUUGAAAUACCACUCUGGUCGUUCUGGAUAUCUAACCUAGGUCCGUGAUCCGGAUCAGGGACAGUGCCUGGUGGGUAGUUUAACUGGGGCGGUUGCCUCCUAAAAGGUAACGGAGGCGCCCAAAGGUUCCCUCAGCCUGGUUGGCAAUCAGGUUUUGAGUGUAAGUGCACAAGGGAGCUUGACUGUGAGACUGACAAGUCGAACAGGGACGAAAGUCGGGACUAGUGAUCCGGCGGUGGCUUGUGGAAGCGCCGUCGCUCAACGGAUAAAAGGUACCCCGGGGAUAACAGGCUGAUCUUGCCCAAGAGUCCAUAUCGACGGCAUGGUUUGGCACCUCGAUGUCGGCUCGUCGCAUCCUGGGGCUGGAGUAGGUCCCAAGGGUUGGGCUGUUCGCCCAUUAAAGCGGUACGCGAGCUGGGUUUAGAACGUCGUGAGACAGUUCGGUCCCUAUCCUCUGCGCGCGCAGGAAACUUGAGAAGGGCUGUCCCUAGUACGAGAGGACCGGGAUGGACGAACCUCUGGUGUGUCAGUUGUUCUGCCAAGAGCACCGCUGAUUAGCUACGUUCGGGAGUGAUAACCGCUGAAAGCAUCUAAGCGGGAAGCAUGCUUCAAGAUGAGGUUUCCAUGGGGUUUACCCCGAGAGGCUCCCAGCUAGACUACUGGGUUGAUAGGCCGGAUGUGGAAGUGCGGUAACGCAUGGAGCUGACCGGUACUAAUAAGCCGAUAACUUGAC